ensembl:lincRNA
AAGCUCCUGCUGCGGUGGCAGACAUGGGAGAGACACGCAAGCUGCAAAGGGAAGCAGAGUCAAAUUAAAGCCUCCCAACCACGGCUCGUGGUGCUGCGGAUGGGGCGUCCCUCCCUCCCUCCCUCGGCUUGAUGAAGGUGGGUGUGAGAUCCCACAGGACUGUCUGGAAGAGAGCCCGUGGAAGUCACUGUAUUUUGCAGAAGCUGGAGGCGAAGCAGAAGGUUUCUUCCUAAGCUGAGUGAAUCUGGACACUUUCUAACUUGGAACAAAUCACACAGACAAAAUGAAGAUAAAAUGCCCCCAUCCAGGUUGCAGCCUGACACUUCUGCCUCUUUUCCCUCUGGGUAUAUCUUACUGGGUCUUUGCAGGUCAUGGCUGGACUGUUGGGUAACUGCUGCUAUUUUCCCAUGACUGCAAUGAAGAAUUGUGGAAUGCAUUGCCUCUCUCUUUGAGUAUUUUCAUUCCCAAGUUCUACAUGAGGUGAUCCCUAAAAGCAUACUGCACAAGUGAAGGGAUUGACAUCACAAGGCUUUCCACACUUCUGGUGCCAGAUGUCCACAUAGCUGCAAUCCACCUAUUCUUCUUCCUGGAAAACUUCAAACCAGUUAUUCAUUCAAGGAUAGAAACACGAAGCUGCUGCAUCAAGAAGCAAAUUCCGGAGUGGAAUUGUGGGCUCCUUGUACCUAAGCUCCAUGUACCUACCUUCACUUGUGGGCCCAGGCCAACGAGAAAAUGCUAAUAACAUACUGUCCAGGCUAGACAAGGUUAUUCUCUAAAAGGAAUGGUUUGUUCGAAUAAAUGUCUACCUAAUUAUACUGUCACGAAGAGCAUCAGACUUCAAAAAAUAUCCCGAAUUAACUAGUACAGAAAACUCUCCUUGUUCCUCAGUACACAGACAAAAUGGAAUAUCAGAAUCGAUCCUCUCUAAGAACACAGUAUUUGACAUGAGUGAUUUUCCUGAAGAUUCUCAGGGAAUACUAGAAAUGGAGAUCCCCUGGGCUUCUUAUCUAGAGACUUUCUGGCUGCAAUGAGUUGAAAAGACAUUAGUUCAAGAAACUAUACUAUCCACAUACAGGGUGGAUCGUCCUCAUUCAACUAAACCUUUCCAGGAAUACUCUCAGAGACACACCCAAAGCUGUGGUUCCAUGGUGAUUUUAAACCCAUCAAAUAGCUGAUGAAGAUUAACCAUCACAGCAUCUCUGAGACUCGAUGGAGUGGGAUGGAUUAUGGAUACUAGGUGAAGACUAAACUUCACUAAGUCUGUGAUGUCACUGAAGCAUCACAGACCCACCAAAUUCUACAAUUGCUGGCUACAUUGAAGCUGAACAAGAUUAGAAGAGACAGGACAAUCUGACUCUCUGUUUUCCCAACCAACCUAUGUCAGUCAGUCCUAGCAGAGUGAUGAGCCUCUAUCAUCAGUCUUUAUCAAUAAGACUGAAUAAUGUGGUAAACAUAAAAUGGGAUAUCCAGCACCCUAAUGCCCCACAGGCUUGAGCACACAUCUCUUCAUGGAAUCACAAGAUACAAUUAGAUGAUAAAAGGUGGAGCUAUUUGGUAAAAAGUGGUUCUAAUUUUCUCAAUAAUUCCUUUAUGGUUUAUUAAACACAAUAGAUAAACAAAUAUUCUUUGUACUAUAGAAGAAAGAUGUUACCACAAUAAAUCCUGAUAUACAUGGCACUUAUUUUGUGUUUUGGUGGUAGAGAGGAAAGUGUCAGAACUCAAGAGGGUUGCCACUGAGGGCAUGAAAUCACAAGGGUGGGGACAAUAACUGUCCCCACGGAGUAUCAUGGAUCAUAGGAAGAGUUGUGGAAACACUCAGAGGCUUUUUUUAGCUGAUCAUAAUAAAAAUUCGAGAAGAGAAUUUACAGGAAACACAGAGCCUCAAGAUAUUCUUACCAACUUGUGGGAGGUCUUCAACAUCGAAGGUCAGCCAAGGUCAAAGGCAGAGCAUUAUCUAGAAACCAUAACACUAAGAACACAGCUUGUAAAAUCCUUGGUUAAGUCCUCAAAAGCUUUCUACUACCACCUCCAAGGCUCUUCACUAUACAAAAUGUCUCCUAAGGACUAUAAAGUAUAUGUCUCUAUCACAUCAGCGCUUUGAGGAAUCUCAGGGGCAUUGUAUAGCUUAAAGGAAGGCCCAAGGAGGGAAUGACAUACUCUGAAAAGACUUACUGGUAUUUUUUCCUAGUCUCAUGCAGACUAUAAAUUGGCAUACAAGGAUCCCAUAAAGUUAUUUAAAAGAAUUAUAACAGUUUGGUCAGAAAAUGGAUGAAGGCAAUAUGAAUUUAAAAAGUGGCCUCUGGGUCAUUGAACGUCUAUGAGUACAAAGAAAAUCACUCAACUGCAAACAUAAGCUAUUUCUGUAAAAUGAAAGAUGGGCCAGAGGGCAGAGUCAAAAGUCUAGAUGACAGAUUCACUCCGAGAGAGAGUUUCUUGUCCCUAAUCAAGGAACUGAUGAGAUGUGCCUUACAUUGCUGUGAAUUGCUAGGGACCAAUCACUGUGUCCGUUCUACAUAUCCCUGAGAGAGUAGGUCUAUUAUGUUUUCCUGAUGCUUGUUCCCUCCGUGGACACUGGGUAUGCAUGUAGGGAUAAUAGCUUGCCUCCUAUUCCACUCACAGGUUUUCAAGCCAAAAUGAAUUGUAUCUAUGGAACUAAAUCCAAGGACUUGGAGCAAUUUGAUUUAGAUGACCCCACCCUGCCCCUCAAGAAUGGCAUUGAUUUUGUAACUUGAUGAUUCUUUGAGGAGCUUGUAGGGAAAGUUUAAAUGGUUUUUGGCUGAAGAUGAACUGGCAUGGUUUGAAAAAUUAUGUGACCCUCUUCCCAUCUAAGGGUAGAUCCUGUCCUCCUUGCCCAUGAAUAUGGGCUUUAGAAAAGGCUAGAAAUGGCACCAUUCUGGUUUGAAAGAGAAAUGUCCCCUGUAGGUCUGCUCGGGUAUUUGAACAUUUGGUCCUCAUGGUGACUCUGUAUGGGGUGCAGACUUGCUGAAGGAAAUACAUCACUGGGAACCAGCUCUGAAUGCAUCUACCUUUAUCCUGCUUUUGGUUUCUCUCUGCUUUGUCCUAGAGAAAGAAUGAUCUCUCGGCUCUCUGCCCCUGCCAGUGUUCAUGCUGGGUACUACCAUACCUCCCUGCCAUAAAUGCUUCUUACACCUCUUCAAGAAUAAAUUAAAAUAAACCAUUUGUUUUACAAG